CACGUAGGCACCAAGCGUUGUCCGGAUUUAUUGGGCGUAAAGAGCUCGUAGGCGGUUCAGUAAGUCAGGUGUGAAAUCUUUGGGCUUAACCCAAAGCGUGCACUUGAUACUGCUGUGACUUGAGUUCGGUAGGGGGAGUGGGGAAUUCCUAGUGUAGCGGUGAAAUGCGCAGAUAUUAGGGGGGAACACCGGUGGCGAAGGCGCCACUCUGGGCCGAAACUGACGCUGAGGAGCGAAAGCGUGGGUAGCAAACAGG
rnacentral:rRNA from 1 species